rnacentral:rRNA from 1 species
ACUAAAUAGAUACCCGGGUAGUCCACGCCCUAAACGAUGUCUACUAGUUGUUGGUGGAGUAAAAUCCAUGAGUAAACGCAGCUAAACGCGUGAAGUAGACCGCCUGGGGAGUACGGUCGCAAGAUUAAAACUCAAAGGAAUUGACGGGGGGCCCGCAACAAGCGGUGGAUUAUGUGGAUUAAUUCGAUGCAACGCGAAAAACCUUACCUGGCCUUGACAUGCCACUAACGAAGCAGAGAUGCAUUAGGUGCCCGUAAGGGAAAGUGGACACAGGUGCUGCAUGGCUGUCGUCAGCUCGUGUCGUGAGAUGUUGGGUUAAGUCCCGCAACGAGCGCAACCCUUGCCAUUAAUUGCCAUCAUUAGUUAGGGCACGUUAAUGGACGUGCCGGUG